GGGACUAAGUUGGAUAUAAACCGAAUUCUGAAUGAAAUAAUUUGUUCUGUGUUGUAGCACAAUGUUUUUGGGACGGACUCUUCAUCUCCUGCUUUCAGUAUCAUGGAAUGAGGCUUCUGAGAGUAUCUGGUUGCUCCUUCCCACAAAUUCAGGACACAGAGAUAUAAUAUGUGUAGUGGAGAACCCUCAUUUCAGUGCUGCUCCUCCAACAUUGUAAGAGAGAGUGCAGAACUCACUCCACAGUUUUAUGCACCACAUCAAUAGAUGGACCAUAAAAUAAAUUGUAUUUAUGUGGUUCCAAAAUACAAGUCAUGUUUUAAACAAGUAAAUCCUUGCAUACCAACUGGGAUAACAUCAUUUUCUGUUGUAGCGGAACACAGAAAUCCCUGAAAUGCAGUUUGUGGUACCACACAACUGUUCAGGACAGGAAACAGCUCAACUGUGUGUUCAGAAUUAGAGGGAAAGGCUGUGGAGUUGGCUGUAUUUUCAUGUGGAUAGAAAUUCUCAGUAGAAUCCCUGGGCCCAGGGGAUGUGUCCCAGGAAAAAUGAAAGAGAAGCCUGAAUAUCUAUCUGCUUGAGCCCAGCUCCUGUGCACCAAUCUGUCUUUGAAGAACCCUCAAUAAAUGCUGAUUUUCUGUGA